CUUAAAUACCCCUUCUCCCAGCUACUCGGGAUUGAACUCUCUACCCCUGCGUUUUAGCCCCAGGGCACUGGUUCCUGUCCUGUCAACAAACCUCGUGUGAUUGCAGCAAGGACAGUCUCUCAUACCACUAAUUGCUGCAUGCUUUCAUCUUGAACAUGAAAGAUUACUCAGUUAACCACAGAAAUGAACGGGAAGAUUGCAUCAUAUUUGGAGGAGUUGAAGAAACUGAAUUUAUAGCGGUAUAGCUGAAGGAGUGCGAGGGGAGUAGAAAUGAAAAAUCAGAUGAGAAGCUUGAGCGCAUAAAAUGAACAAACCCGAGCAUCAAAGAUGGACGCCUACCCUUUUCUCAGAGCAAGUGGACACCGUGUUUCCAUGUACUUCCCAUGCGUGAUGCUGUACAAAAUCUGCGUGUGUUGGGAGCCCUGCUCUCUCAACUUCCGCAACAAUGAAGAACUGCCUGGGGGUGGUACCCUGGUCCAUAAAGGCAGACUGGGAACAUCGGUGGGCAAGAGGACCUGGAAUGAGUGCUCUGUGAGGGCAAAGGGCAGCAGGCCUCUGUGUGAACUUUCCCCCAAGGAGAUUUAAGACCCAAGAGUAAGUCAGUGUUCUGAGUGUGGCUCAGUCAACACAGGUGAUGCUAGGAUUAACCUACUCCAAGUAGUGACAGCACUAAUACACUUUGGAUGUUCAGAGAGCUAAACCUCGUCUCCCCACUACCCUGCCCCCAUGGCAAGCCCUUGUUUUUUCUAAGACGAGCCUUCUCAAGAAACAUCUCACACCAACAAAAGUAGGCUUCUGGUACAGCAUAUCAUCCCAGCAGAAAAGGCAAAAAUCUUUGUAAUCAAGGACAGAGAAGCAUCUGAUAGGGUAGUGCCCACCUGGAGCAGAAGGGAAUGGUUGGACAUCAGACAUCUCUGGGCCAAUGGGAGGCCAGAACUCUGGCAUGCCUGAGAGCGGUCCCCACAGAGGAGGCUGGCCGAAGGCAAAUCCAUUGCCAUGGCUGCGCUGCAGCUCCCCAUGCCUUAAGUGGGCCAGGAGAUUGGUGUUAAGUGAGAAUGCCCUGUUCCUGGUACUUGUGCCAGCGUCUGGAGAACACUCGUCAAUUAUGUGAAUGACAUACGAAGGUGUUUGGUCCCAUUCUGUGAGAUUUCAUUUUCUCUCCCUGACAUCGGAGUGCUACCCUCUAAUCUGAUUCUGAAGGCGUGUGAAAUGACUGCCGAAUUAGAAGGGCAUGCAUUGUGAAAAUUACAGGUGAGCUGCAGUGUUAACGUAAAGGGAUAAAUGGUGAUUUACAAACAACAGUCCACAGUAAUUGCAAAACAAUCAUGUAGAACAGGAUGCAUGGAGAUAUGCAUACAUCUUGAUGAAACCUGCCCUGGAUCCCUCCUGAACUGCAGUCUCCCUCCAGAGAGCAGACGGUUGGGAAGGGCCCAUGCUGACAGCUGAGGCAAGUGGUUAGCACCCUGGGACCCUGCUAGUCUUGCACUAUACACACACCCCUAACAUUGUACUUAACAACCUGAGUUCCUUGUCUGCAGGUAUGACUUACUUAUGCCCCUCUAUGACAACUCACCUAGCACCUGUUAGCAACCUUAGGGCCCUACCUCCUUUGAGCUGUAUAAAGUCCCCACUCUGGACAGUGGACUAGGACUCCCCUAUUACAGACAAAUUCUAUUCUUUUCCAAUUCAUCUGGGAAUUUUGUACAAUGGGCCGGUGUGACCAGACUGGUUUUGAGUGGAAGAAUAAUAAAAAAAAACUCUCCUCUAAGUGAAAUGUUAGGGAGAACCCCGUAUUUACCAUUUUAUGUAAAAUUGGGUAUGCAAUAUAAUUAAGACCGGCUGCAUUAUGGGAAGGGAUGUGGGUGCUAAAAAUGAUUAUAUAACCUAAUCUAUCAGUCAAAAUAGAGAAACGCUGUCACUAUGUCCCUUAGCAACCAAACUCUUCAUCUUGAACCCCACAAAGGGAAGCCCCAAACACUGAUUGGAGGAGCCCUUGUGUACUGUGACUAGAACUAGAAACACCAGGCUCAGACGCUGACCACUUGUAACACUGCAGCACUGUGGGAGAGGAAGUUAGGAGUUUGGUUAUGUGUAGAAUCUUAAAAUUCUAAGACACCUGGCUGGGCCACAGUCAAGGUCUAGGAAACAUGCUCAAGAGAGUCUUUAAUGCCCUUUUCCCAAACCCACGCUGCAGUGCAGGCAGCCCCUGCUCACUCCUGUAUAAUGUCUUCCCCUGUGGAAAGAAGUCGAGUUCUAGCAACUGGCCUUCCUGGCGCCAAACAAACUUCAGAGCUGAGUCAUAGCUGGCCAACCCUUCCGGAUACCUGUGACCCACGCGUGACCCAGGCCUAGAAAGGCUAGAGAUUCCUGCUUUCUCACUGAUAGACCCUGGGGCCUUAACAAACCACAGAGGAAAUGGUUCCUGAGCCUGGGUCAGAUCUGGAGCAACAUUUGAGAGUGGGUUUGAGAAAGAUUCUGAGCAUGUCAGUUGGCCCAUGUCCAGACACUCUAGGUAACAGUGUGGGCAAUGAAUCAAACGGCAAAGUGUUUCCUCCUGUUAGAGUUUGUUCAAAGUAAUAACAUCACUGACUAACUAGUAUGACCAGCUAGAUUAACCAGAGUGACAUGAGAAAAUGAUCCCGCCUCCAAGAACUGAGUGUGACAUUCAUAAAAUAAAAGCUUUCUACUCGGCUGAACCUGUAAACCAUGAACUUCUGUCAGGAUUUAUGAUAGGAAACACAGAUUUUACAUAGCUUAGGAUAUAAAUAUUAAAACAAAAAGUCUAAGUCUUGAUUUUUCUAGAAUUCCCAAACCAUAUUUUCCAAAGAACCCCAUUAAAACUACUUUAGUUAAAAGAUGUCUGACUGGCACAGCAUCCUAAUAAUAGGCUCACUACACUUUAUUAAAAUCUCUAAUAUUAUUUAAGUUAAAAUAAAAUUUCAAUAUCAGAUAAAGCUUGGACUAUAAGAAUGAGCCUUUUGCACAGAACCCGACAACCCCUAAGCAUGGUUAUGCUAAGGAAUAUUAUAACUGAUUUUCUGUCCCCGUGUGCAUUUAUUCUUACUGUCUUUUUAAGCUUAUGGCUUCAACGGGGGUGUGAUGUCUUCCUUCUUCAUCCCAAUAAUAUGUAAUUCAUUGCUCUAAAUAUAGUUAGCAUCGAGUAAUUUUUGUUAUUGACUGAAUUCAGGCAAU